GAAAACUGAUGUGUCCCACAGAUAUUGAUACAAUGUAUAAAGAACAAGAGGAAGCCCCCUGCCAUGUUGGAUGGGCCUGAUGGGUUGGAUUUCUGCAAGGCUGUGGAUAAGAGGCACACAGGAUGAAGAGACAAGGAUGGAUGGUGAUCUGCAUUUUGAGGGAGGUGUCUUGGCAGAACUAAAAGGAAGCAUGGCUUGUGAUCACAGCUCAGUCAUACAAGGAAAGAUUUAGGAUCUCCACAGCCUGAGGAUGGAAAGGUAACAGUGGAAAGGAGGGAUCUCUAUCAUUCUAGCAACUAUGGGGAUAUGGAUUGGAACUGACAAUUUUAGUGACUGGCAACCUGAUAGCAUCCUCUCAAGACCAUCACUGGCCAAUCACAUCCAUAUGGGAGAACUGUUUGUGUUGUCACCUCCUCCCAGGACAUCUCUCUACCAAUGUACACAUGGAAAAGGGGAAAGAAUGUGGUUGUUCUGAA